rnacentral:rRNA from 1 species
AGAGUUGAUCAUGGCUCAGGAUGAACGCUAGCUACAGGCUAACACAUGCAAGUCGAGGGGCAGCAGAUCGAAAGCUUGCUUUGAUGCUGGCGACCGGCGCACGGGUGAGUAACGCGUAUCCAACCUUCCCUAUAGUAGAGAAUAGCCCGGCGAAAGUCGGAUUAAUGCUCUAUGUUGUAUUUAGAGGACAUCUGAAGAAUACCAAAGGUUUACCGCUAUAGGAUGGGGAUGCGUCUGAUUAGGUAGUAGGCGGGGUAACGGCCCACCUAGCCGACGAUCAGUAGGGGUUCUGAGAGGAAGGUCCCCCACAUUGGAACUGAGACACGGUCCAAACUCCUACGGGAGGCAGCAGUGAGGAAUAUUGGUCAAUGGACGGAAGUCUGAACCAGCCAAGUAGCCGUGCAGGAUGACGGCCCUAUGGGUUGUAAACUGCUUUUAUAUAGGGAUAAAGUCGGGGACGUGUCCCCGUUUGUAGGUACUAUAUGAAUAAGGACCGGCUAAUUCCGUGCCAGCCGCAGC